rnacentral:rRNA from 1 species
UGGGGAAUUUUGGGCAAUGGGCGAAAGCCUGAUCCAGCGAUGCCGCGUGAGUGAAGAAGGCCUUCGGGUUGUAAAGCUCUUUUGUCAGGGAAGAAACGGUGAGAGCUAAUAUCUCUUGCUAAUGACGGUACCUGAAGAAUAAGCACCGGCUAACUACGUGCCAGCAGCCGCGGUAAUACGUAGGGUGCAAGCGUUAAUCGGAAUUACUGGGCGUAAAGCGUGCGCAGGCGGUUAUGCAAGACAGAGGUGAAAUCCCCGGGCUCAACCUGGGAACUGCCUUUGUGACUGCAUAGCUAGAGUACGGUAGAGGGGGAUGGAAUUCCGCGUGUAGCAGUGAAAUGCGUAGAUAUGUGGAGGAACACCGAUGGCGAAGGCAGCCCCCUGGGUCAAGAUUGACACUCAUGCACGAAAGCGUGGGGAGCAAACA